AGGCUUGUAGCUCAGGUGGUUAGAGCGCACCCCUGAUAAGGGUGAGGUCGGUGGGUCAAGUCCACUCAGGCCUACCA
rnacentral:tRNA from 1 species